rnacentral:rRNA from 1 species
AAGCUCGUAGUUGAAUUUCGGGAUCAGUAUGCUGGUCGUGCCUUCGGUACUAUGCACUGGUGUCACUGAUUCCUCCCUUCUGAAGAACCGUAAUGCCAUUCAGUUGGUGUGGCGGGGAAUCAGGAUUGUUACUUUGAAAAAAUUAGAGUGUUUAAAGCAGGCUCGCGCUUGAAUACAUUAGCAUGGAAUAAUGAAAUAGGACGUUUGAUCUUAUUUUGUUGGUUUCUAGGAUCGACGUAAUGAUUAAUAGGGAUAGUUGGG